rnacentral:snRNA from 1 species
CCACUAUGCCUGGCAGAGAAGAUACCAUGAUCAUGAAGGUGGUUUUCCCAGAGCGAGGCUUAUCCAUUGCACUCUGGAUGUGCUGACCCCUGUGAGUUCCCCAAAUGUGGAAAACUUGAUUGCAUGAUUUCUGGUAGUGGGGAACUGCGUUCAUGCUUUGCCCCC